AACGAAUAUAAUUAGAAAAGUAUAAAUUGCCUUUUGAUGGUUCCGCUUGCAUGGUUUGGGUCCUGCGCAAUAGGACGCCGUGAACCUUGUCAGGUCCGGAAGGAAGCAGCAAUAAGCGGAAGCUCUUAUGUGCCGCAGAUAAGCCUUCUCCUACGCCUGCGGAGCUUUCAAAGGGCAAUUUGUU
rnacentral:SRP_RNA from 1 species